rnacentral:rRNA from 1 species
GGGGAAUAUUGCACAAUGGGGGAAACCCUGAUGCAGCAACGCCGCGUGAAGGAAGACGGUUUUCGGAUCGUAAAACUCUGUUGUUAGAGAAGAACAAGGAUGAGAAGAGAAUGUUCAUCCCUUGACGGUAUCUAACCAGAAAGCCACGGCUAACUACGUGCCAGCAGCCGCGGUAAUACGUAGGUGGCAAGCGUUGUCCGGAUUUAUUGGGCGUAAAGCGAGCGCAGGCGGUUCUUUAAGUCUGAUGUGAAAGCCCCCGGCUUAACCGGGGAGGGUCAUUGGAAACUGGGGAACUUGAGUGCAGAAGAGGAGAGUGGAAUUCCAUGUGUAGCGGUGAAAUGCGUAGAUAUAUGGAGGGACACCAGUGGCGAAGGCGGCUCUCUGGUCUGUAACUGACGCUGAGGCUCGAAAGCGUGGGGAGCAAAC